GAAUCAUCCUAUCUUGCCCACCACCGGCUUUACCCCAUAAAAUAAUAAAGAUAUUUAAAGCAAGGAAAAGUCGUUGGAUACCGCUCGAGGACAGGGAAUAUGCUUAUAUCCUGCGGAAUGGUUUACAUUUAGGUCCCCUUCCAUGGACUCUUUUCUUUAUUUUAUUUCCCAACUUCCUCUCUGAUUGUUUUAAGUAACGGACAUCACGAUUAUAACGGCUACUGUACAACCCAUAG
rnacentral:lncRNA from 1 species